rnacentral:lncRNA from 1 species
UUCUCCAUGCAGAACUGAGAAGCAUCAGCAGCAACAACUAUAAUUCAGAGCCAAACUGCCAGAAACUAAGGAUGGACAAACCUCCCCUCCCAAGCCCCUUCUUUGACCCUGGAUUUCACAGGUAGAGAAAUUCCACAUACUCCUUAAGAGGGACAGAGCUGGGAGCACAAGGUUUUCUGGGAAAACCAGUGGCAGAGGCUCCCUGCUUUUCUACAAGACACUUAUCUUCUUACUCAGGGAACCAAUAUUUUCUUCAACCAAGUGGAAGUCCAUGGGCUUUCUCUUUUAUUUGAGUACCCACCCCAGCCUCAGAGCCAGUUGACCAACGGGAAACUGUAUGGGGCUUUUCUAAGCCCUCUGGGGGAACUCAAAGUAAGUCUCAGUGGAGAAAAUGUAGGAUUGGCCUGUGGUCUUGGUUGUAACCCUGUCUCUUAUAAAAUUGUGGUAUCAGAUGAAAUAUGAAUAUAGUCCCUGGAAAGUGUAGACUUGUCACAAAGGCAUGAUUAACGGUAAGUCACCAUGAUUGCUUCCUAUCUGUCAUUCAGGGGUCUGUCUUCCUGAAUCAUUGUAAAAGUUGUUCAUAUUCUGGCUUCAUGUAUGUGUGUGUGUGUGUGUGUGUAUAUAAAGGCUCAACCCUCAUAUCAUUAGUUUCAAAAUCAGUUGUUCUGCCAGUGUCUAAUUGUGUGACAGUAAACAUUCACAUAAUCUCUAAGCCCAAAUUUUCUCAUUUACAUGCCUACCGUGCAUUCUUGCUCAAAUAAAAUCUCAACUUUAAUUUUGGAACCUCAGGGUCUCAGGGCUAGGUGGGAAGCUUGUAUAUCAUCUGAUAUGGCCUUUACCUUAUGCUCGCACUCACCCCUCACCAGCCUCACAGACAAAUGAUCCUGCAACUUCAGACUGAAACUGACCUGGCUGUGAGCUAACUCCCUCAGGAGUUCUGAUUGGUAGGAAGUUCUUUAUUGUGGUAAGAUGAACUCUAUACCCUCUAGUUACUAUUACCUGUUGGUAUCUGUGUUACCUCUGGAUCCAUUAACCUAAUUUAAUCACGACAUUGAAUAAUUCUGUAAAUGCCAUUACAUUUUUUUUUUUAACAUAAUCACUCAGCUCCUUUGCUGGCUCCACCUUUGGAGAUUCUGAUCUGAGUUGAGUUAUAAAACAGCAUCAGGUAUUUCUAAACAUUUCCAAGUGUUCUUGUUGCUUUGUUCUGAUGAUCCCCCAGAGGCAUGAAUUCUACUGCCAUGACUGGAAGAGCAGGUGUCUUAAACUUGGAUUAUUUUAUUUUAUUUGGAAGUGAUUUCUCCUUCUUAUGACCUUCAUUUAUUUUUUUUUUAAUUCUAAACAAAAAAAAAAAGAUGAAUACAAUUUUAGAAGAGAACUUGAAAGCUUCUAAGUAACAAAAUGAAAGUCAUUUGUAACUCAACUAUUUGUAAAAAUAUAAAUAAGACUGUAUUUUAUGCCUUGUAUCUGGAUCAUGUUUCAGUAUAUGUAUUUAUAUGCAAUUGUUGAAACUGGCAGUCCAUGUGGUUCUAGGUGCUAACCUGGUACUGAGCAUUAUGUUGUCUUUUCGUAAGUAUUAUCAUAAUGGUUGCAUCAUAAUAUUUUGUUGAAUGAAUGCACCAUAAUUUACUUAAUGAAUCCCCGAUUGUAAUCCCCACUUUGGGUUCAGUUUUUAGGAACACCAAGGCUAUUUUCUUUGAAGAGUGGAAAUAUGAGAAAAGGUAAUGCCUGUAGGUUCCCAUCACAAAAUAUUUUUUUCCCAAGUGUUAAAGUAACCCCUUCACCCUUUUUUUUUCUUUUCUUUUCUUAAAUUAGAGUCACUAGGGCAAGUGUGUCCAAUCCUGUUGGAGCUGGAAAGUUGAAAACACAGGUUGAUGUGCAUGUGUGUGUGUAAAUUGUACUUCCCAAAUUCAAGCUUACAGUAUCAUAUUGGUGAUGUCUGUGACAAACAAGACUUCUUUGGUUUGUCCCUUUUACAGAUUCAAAAGGCCCACCCAGGGCUGGAACAACCUUUUCCUCUGAUAUUCAGAAUUUUCUUGGAAAUUACUAUCCCUCUGUGUCAGGAAGAAAGCACUUGAACCCAGAACAGAAAUCAAAAUAUUCCACGUGUGCCUUGUAUUGACAUAAUUUGGAUCCACUUAUUUAUAAGCACAUCACCCUGGUGGCACAAAGGUUCCACCUUCAAUGAUCAGAUCAGUCCCCCAGGGUUACUAUUAAGAGUGGCAAUAUCCUCUCUACUCUGUAAACAUAAUCAAUUCUAGUUAUGUUCUUCAUGUGUCCAUUAAAAAAGGUGGAUGAGAGCUACCAAGAUGACUCCCUGGUUUUGGUAGUGAGGUACCCAUAUCGGGUGGGCAGAUCCUCCUCGUGGUUGACUAUGAAAAGUAAGAGUGAAGCAUUUUGCUCCUCUGCCGCAGUCCGGCUGCAGCAAAAUAACCGGGGGGCAGGGGGGUGGGGUGACGAAUAACUUGUGUACGUUGAUACAGCAGGAGUAGGAGCCCUUUAUUGCAGGACAGGAGCAGUAUUUAUACAUUCCACACAGCUUAUCUAAUUAGCAUAAACUAGAUACAUCAGUCAACCAAUAAGGAAUCUCCACACUUAAUGGCUUGUUUUUGUUACUUCUCAAACCACUCCCUCUGGCAUUUUGCCAGGCACCAUCCAGACUUGUUUACGAACUUUAACAUUCCCCUGGCAAAAUGCCAGGUGUUAUUUUGACUUGUUUACAGACUCUAACAUUUCCCCCUUUUGUUUAAUUUAAAUAACAACCAUAGUGGUUUUUACAGAAACACCAUAAAUAACCUGCUACAAACAGAAAGGGAGGAUACAAAAUGCCACAAUACCAAGCCAAUUGAUGGCUCCAUGCAAGAAGCCCUUGGAAAAAUUAUACCAGCAAUGACACUGUUAGUAAAGAUACCGAGUUACAAUUUGUUAUAGAUUACAGUUUGUUGUCUCAGUCCAGGUAAAGUAGUGUCUCAAUAGAUUAACUCACAGUCCAGGUAAAUCACAGUCCAGGUAAGUUCUGCAGACAGCUAGCUUAAAUCAUAGUCCAGGUAAGUUUUGCAGGCAACUAGCUUGAUCCGAAGUCUUGUCCGUUUCUCAGCUGAAGUCUUGUCCGGUUUUCAGCAACACUGGAAAUUCUUCCACCUUGGUCUUUACCGGCACUGGGACGAAGGCAGGAACUCAGGAUGGCUAAAGAAAAUCCUAUAGCAUUCUACUAAGAAAACAACCUUCUGAACAAUUUAGUACAUUAUCUCAAGGUUUUUUACAUUUGAAAUAAGCCUUAAUAGUGCUCAUUACUCAUUAGCUUCCAGGUGUGGGAGAACCAUUGUAGUUUAGUUAUUGGCAUUGAAAAUGACCAAACAUCAGGGACACCAGUAGCAUCUUCUGCUGGCUGUAGUGCCUGGGCAACCCCAGAUGGCCCUGGGGAGUGUCCCGGACUCAAACUGCUACUGGGCACAGGGAGCAAGAGCCUGCGAGACUGUGCCUCCAGGUCAGGUCUAGAUUUGGGCUCGCGGCAGUGGAAGAGCCAGCUCCCCAGCCAGGAGGCGGGGAAGGGCCAGUUGCUUCCGCCUCUUGGAAAAUCCUUGCUGCGCUGUGACCGGCUUGCACACUCGGCAGCCGCCUCUCCGCUUCACGCACCCUCCGGUAACGAAAAGUAUUUAGUAAUAGCCUUUUGCUGCAACUUUUUUCCUGAUAAUCCUUCUUCUUCUGAACUUUCUUUUUCUUUCUGACUAGAGUUCCUGGGCUCUUAUCAACACAUGCCCUAACUAUUCUUGGUUCCACUGGGGUGCCUUCUUCCCUUAGUAAUUUACUUCUCACCCCUUCCAUAUUUUCAUCACAAAGACAAUACAAUACACUGAGACAAAACAAGACACAAACAUACUGUAUCAAUCUUUUCCAUUUUCUCGAAAUGGUCAUUUUUCCUCUCGCCCUAUCUGUCUAGGGACGAGCAGAUUUGCUCCCGUCCUAUCUAUGGACGGGCAGCUUUUUUUCGUCACUUACCCCCAAGUGUCCCAGGGCUCCCGGUACGGGCCACCAUCUGCCACAGUCCGGCUGCAGCAGAAUAAUCAGGGGGGUGACGAAUAACUUGUGUANNNNNNNNNNNNNNNNNNNNNNNUUUAUUGCAGGACAGGAGCAGUAUUUAUACAUUCCACACAGCUUAUCUAAUUAGCAUAAACUAGAUACAUCAGUCAACCAAUAAGGAAUCUCCACACUUAAUGGCUUGUUUUUGUUACUUCUCAAACCACUCCCUCUGGCAUUUUGCCAGGCACCAUCCAGACUUGUUUACGAACUUUAACAUUCCCCUGGCAAAAUGCCAGGUGUUAUUUUGACUUGUUUACAGACUCUAACACUCCUCCUUUCCCACGAUAUAACUUUAAUAACUAGGAAGGCCAGGACCUUUUAACUACUAACUUUGGUUCAAAUACAAAGAAAAAUGAUUAUCGAGAUUGAUCUUUUGAUAUACCAGGGAUGAGAGAAGCCAUGCAGAUUAGGAGGAAAGGGUAGUGAUGGCCAACCUUAUCUAUAGUUCAUAUAUUUAAAAUUCAGAACUGUGGACAUCCUGAAUCGAAAAGUUUUUGGCCACUCAAAAUCAAAAUCAGCUUCUCAAAAAGAGACAAGACACUCUGCUCAUAGAAUGGAACCACCAUAAUCUGUCAGUGAAUUUCUCAGCACAAACGUUGCAGGCUAGGAGAGAGUGGGAUGAUGUAUUCGAUGUCCUGAAAGAAAAAAAAAAAUUCUGCAAGCCAAGAAUACCAUGUUUAACAAGAUUGCCCUUCACAAAUGGAGGCAAGAUAAUGAUAUUCCCAGAUAAACAAAAGGUAAGGAAGUUCAUCACCAGUAAACCUGCCUUACAAGAAAUGUUAGAGUGAGUUCUUAAAGUGGAAGUGAAAGGAUUCUAUUUAGUCAUGUGAAAAUAUAUGUAAGUAUAAAAUUCUGGUAAAUAUAUAAUGCAUUUCAGAAUAUUUAAUUCUAUAUUGGUAGUAUAUAAAUCACUUUUGUAUAAAGAUUAAAAUACAAGUAUUGUAAAUACUUAUAGCUAUAAUAAUUUGUUAAUGGAUAGAAAAUACAUCAAAGAUCUGAGUUGUGACUUUAACGCAUCAAAUAUGGGGUGGCUAAAAGUGUAUGAUUUUUGUAUGUUCUGAAACUUAGCGGGAUAAAAGCUAUUAUAGGGCAAUAACCACAGCAAAAAUGUACAGUAGAUCCACAAAGAUAAAGAAAAAAGAAUGAAAACAUAACCACCGAAGAAAAACAUCAACUCACAAAGGAAGAUAGUCAUGUUCUUCAUGUGUCCAUUAAAAAAGGUGGAUCAUAGCUACCAAGAUGACUCCCUGGUUUUGGUAGUGGUACCCAUGUCGGGUGGGCGGAUCCUCAUCAUGGUUGACUAUGAUAAGUAAGAGUGAAGAGCAAGGAAGGAAGAAAGGAGAAAGAAGGAACAAAGAAACUACAAAACAGUCCUCAAACAAAAACAAAGUGGUAAGUAGCAAGUUCUGACCUUUCUGUCCUUAAUUGCUUUGAAUGUGAAUAGGUGAAAUUCUAUAAUGCAAAGACUAGGAUGGCUGAACAAACAUUAAAUAGAGAAAAAGAAAAGAUUCAAUAUAUGCUUCCUACAAGACACAUACUUCAGUCUUAAAUAAAAACAUAAGCGAAAAGGGAGGGUAUGUGAAAAGACUCCAGACAAAUUAGAAACCAAAAGAUAAUAGGGAUAGAUAUGUUUAGACUAAGUAAAAUGUAAAUAAAAAAUUAACAAAAAAAGAAGGUAGUAAGGAAUGGAAAAGGGGUCAGGUAAUAAGAGGGUAUAAUAAUUGUAGUUAUAUAUGCAACCAGCAGUGGAGCAUCUAAAUAUAUUAAGCAAAUAUUAACAGAUCUGAAGUUAGUAAUAUCAGUAUUAUGAAAAGGGCCAAACACCAUGAUCAAGCGGUAUUUAUUUUGGGGAAUGAAAGGAUGGUUUAAUAUAUGCACAUAAGUGUGAUAUUCCACAUGUCUAGAAUGAAUGAUGAAAACCAUACAAUCAUCUUAAUGGGUGAAGAAAACAUAUUUGACAUAAACCUUUUCAGGACAAAACUCUGAUGAUGUGUGUGUGUAUAAAUAAAUGCAUGCACACAGACAAUACAAUAUUAUUCAGCCAUAAGAGAGAAGGAAAUCCUGCCAUUUUUAACAACAUAGAUGAGCACGGAGGGCAUUAUUGCUAAUGAAAAAAGCUAGACAGAGAAAGGAAAAAUGGUGUAUGGUAUCACUCUCAUGUGAAAUUUAAAGUAACAACUGCAAUACACUCAGAAUAGAAUGGUAAUUGCCAAAGGUUGAGGAAAAUGUUGAGAUGUUGGUCAAAGGUUACAUACUUUAGUAAUAAGAUAAACACAUUUAAAGUUCUAAUGUACACCAUGGUGAUUGUAUUUAAUAGUGCUGUAUUUCAUGCUUGGGAUUAAUUUUCUAUAAGGAUAGAUUAAGCAUUCUUAACAAAAAAGAAAAAGUUAACUCUGUGAGGUGAUGGAUGUGGUAAUUAGCUAAUUAACUUGAUUACGCUAAUGACUUCAUAACAUUUAUGUGUAUCAAAUCAUCACAUUGUGCACUUUAAAUAUAUACAAUUCUAUUUGUCAAUUAUAACUCAAUAAAGCCGGAGAUUAAAAAAAAAAAGAAGAACAGUAGCUUCUAUUUUCUUUUUUCUAUGUGCAAAAGGCAUUCCUGUUCUUUGUUCCUUAAGAAUUGAGGGGCUAUUGGAUUAUAGGAUGAGAGAUAUAGAUAUAAGUAAGAGAUAUAUAGGUGACUUAGCCACAACACAAUUUGGUCAAUUCUCCAUGGAAGUUUUGCCCCCCACAAAAAAGUGCAGAUGGAUCUCUGGGUCAGUGGCCUGUGAAAAUAUCGGAUUUUUUUCCUUCAUUUUUCUAAAAUAUCAAGGAAAUGAGAGACAGGUUUCUUUAUCAUGUGCCCAGUUCUCCAAUGGAAGAAGACAGAGGUGCCAUUACCCUAGAAGAUACUCCAUAUCAAGUCAUGCUAUGGCCUAUAAGCCUUCCACAAAAGCUGUUGGUCACUCCCAGAAUUCCAUGUCAGUCAAAUACAGAGGGUUGCACAUUUUGAAACCUUAUUCAGUAAAGCAUUCAAGCACUGAAGAGGGGGUAGAAUGAUUGACAUAGACCGGGGCUGCUGGAAUAGGUAGGUUCCAAAUAAGAACAGAACCAUGAAUUACAACCAGGGCAGGUGGUCAGCACAAGGCAGAAACUGAUUCAAACAGGAAGACAAGCCAAAAAGACAAAAAUUUCAAAGGCAGACUAAAGUAGGUCAUAAGGUCAAAAAGCAAAUGACUGUCAGAAGUCACAAGGGCAGGGCCAAGGUAGCAGGGUGAGCCAAGAAUAAGCCAUCUCCUUCAAUCAGAGGGAAACCCUUGCUACAUUCCAAAAGUGUUUGUUUACUUCAUAAGGCAGAGGUACCUGUUUGGCUCUUGGGGUUUAUAUGGGCCUUAUGGGUGGUGUUAUAAUUAAAUAGCAGAGUAGUACUUUAACACUCUGCUAAUUCUCAGGUUAUAUUUGUAAACAAGCCAGGGAAGCUUGAAGUGAUGUUUCACAUUAGCAGUAUACAUUUUGGUACACUAGAGAUCAUUUUAAGAAUAAUUUUGAUUUAUACUUGCGCACUCACCUCAUUUAUUUUAUAAGUCUAGACUUUAAAGGAGGAUCCUCCUCAAAUAUUUAGGAAGAACAACUUAUCACUUGUUCAACACCCCCUUUAAAAGUCUAGAAGCCUUCCUUUUGGGACUUAGACUGUUGUCUCUGUGAUAUGGCCCCUCCUUUCCCACCUGCUCAGGAAAUGUGAGCUGUGAAUUGCAGCUGAUUUGGAAUUUAAAGAGACUGCAACUCAAGUGUGACAGCAACUGCGCUAUUUGUUCACCAGACUGUUAAGCCUGUCAUUUCCCAAGGCGACCUUAGAGCAAACUCUUAUUUAAUUGUUUAAGCACGAGAAGCAAAAAUGUCUAGGUACCCUGCUUCUCUAAAUUUUUUUUUCCUAUUGGGGCUUUUUUUCUCUACUAGUUAGCAUUUAAAUCAAAGAAAUAUAAACUAGGUGAGAUGACCUCUUGAAGACUGAAGAUCACAAUAAAAUUGUAAUAUGCAAGAUCUCAAGGGGAUGAUUCAGGAAAAAUGUGGCAUAAAAGAAAUGUUCUUCCACACUUUUCUACAAAUAAUUUUAAACUUUAUUUAUUUAUUUAUUCAUCUAUUUUGGGUUUAAAUGGCCACAUGGCUAAAGUAACAAAAUCAGAUGAGUAGGCCCUAUUUCUUUGGCUCACUCCUUGAUCCUUUUAAAGCUAUAGGUACAAGACUGGCAAUUAGUUCCUGAGUGGCAUGAACAGUGCCAUUUUGCUUAUUUUCAACAAGUAUUAUCUGUCAUCCUUCAUUAGAUUGACCCAGAAACUGUGGGAAACCAUGACCCAAUAUUUAAGGGGAAUCAAGAUUAUAAUCACCAGUGUUGAACAUGAUUUUAUCAUUGGUGCUCCUCAUCAGUUGGUAUGUUUUCAGUUCCCUGGGGAGAGGUUACAGAAUUCCCAAGAAGAUCUUCUAUGAGCAAUUGGAAGGAAUUUUUCUCAAUAUCUCUAGUAUGUUUUGCUUUGCGGAACAUGGCUGCAUUUGAGAGGAAGGUGUGUUUGACUUUUCUCAAGGCUGUGCUUUAUUGUUCUUAACUCCAAUGGUAUUUAAAGGUGAAAGGAUACAAAUUAAAUCACAUGCAUAUUCUGUAAGACCAUAGACGAUAGGCAGGUAAGGUUCAGGGGUAGGCUGAAUGUCGGCAGAUUUCCAUCUCCAGCUCAGUGUUAAAAUAUUGCAGCGAGAGUACGAAGAGGAAAAACUGGUAUUAUUUCUAUUUUAUCUGUAAAGCUCACUCUGGGCUCAGGCCAAUAAAAUGUUUGGCCAAUAAAAUAUUAACUCAUAUUCAUGCAAAAGCUUCAAAAAUCACUUGCAUGAUAUGUUCACCUUUUCUUGGAAAUUUGCUACCAUCAGUGUGAGUAUAGGUUAACAUGCCUAAACCUUGGCAUGGGAAGAUAGUAAAGGUGUUUUAUUCAAUUAGCUGACAUCCUGACAACUUCUAAAUAGGAGGGAGCCUAACCAAGACAGGCAGAAACAUUUAACAACCUUGUAUGUGUAGCAGAGUAGCUGAGGGCAGACACAAAAUGAGCCUACCUGAGCCCAGCUUAGAUCAGUGUAAUUGCUCAAUCACCCUAUAAACUCAUAAAAUGUAAGAAAUGUUGACUGUUGUAUAACAAUGAUAUUUUAUGUUGUUGAUCACACAGCAUUAAUGUGGCAAUAGAUACCUGACACACCAGCCCAAUGAACAUGAUCAGUGAGUGUUAGCUAUAUACAUCUCAUCUCAUUGAAUCUAACGUGCUUUGAUAAUGGUAUCUCCUUGCUUUUUCUAGAAGCUAUCUAUAGAAAGCUUCUUUACAAUGGCAUAAUAAUCACCAUAUGGCAGGCAGUGACUUUUAUAUUCCAUGAAUUCAAAGAUGCAUCUUUAAUUCAAAUAUGCUAUAGUGCUAAAUUUCUGCUUAUUGUGGAAAAUUUUGUUAAAAAUCUUUAGGAUACCAGUGACCUGUGAGUGCAACUGGGUGCAGCUCCUUGGGACUUGAGUGGCUGUAGAUGCAAAGAUUGCAGCUUGGUAUAUUAUGGCAUCAGAGUCUCAGUCAGGCUCACUGAGGUCAGAGGCACCUGUAACUGGCCAGUGGACCUCUCCAUUGAAGCAGAUCAGUGCUAUUCUUAUUUUCCUUAGUGACAGGAGCAGUGUGGGACUCUCAUGAGAGUUUCCAGUUUGCCUAAACACCACAAUGGCAAAGCCUUCACAAAUAAGGCUUUCUUCCACAUUUACAGUUUGAGGGGUAAACUAUGCCCCCCAGGAUCUCUUAAUGCUAAACUGGGGUAGUGUUUAAUUGUGCUGCAUAUAAGUGAUAUGAGACAGCCAAGAAGAGUUUAAAUACAACAAUUAUGGCAAUAGUCAGGGAGACUUUAAAUACUACAAUUAAAAUUACUUGUUGUGUGUUUUGCAUGUUAUGUUUUGUCGGGGUCUGUAUACCAGACACAGAUUAAUAUUUUAUUCCCUAUAUCAAUAUUUUAUAGUUUUUAGUAGAAUGAGGUAAACGAGGUUAGUAUUUUGUGUUUAAAUUUUAAAUGGAAGUUUACAGACAUUGCAAGAAAAUUAAUACUGUUAUUUCAUUGUUAUUGGACCAAAAAAAGGAGAACACAGGUUGAGGCAAUACUUGGCUCCAAAUAACUUUCACCUGCAAUUUUUCUUUCUUUCGUAGAAAUCGUACUCGUCUUUAAACAGAAGUAAAUAAAGCAAGGUUCUCUAAGCACCUUUCAUAUCCUCUGAGGGCCACUACAAUGAGGAGUCACCAAAGUAUUACAGAAUUGAUGGCACAACACAGGGAUCAUGCUUGUGCCUUCCAUGGUGAAAGCCCUAAAGGGAGAAAUUAUUGGUUCAGAGGAAUCAGCCUGCUCUAGCUGAAUGAUGAGCUCAUUCGGAAUCUUCUUUCUACCAAGGGAUGCCCAUGACUAGGAAAAUGUCUUUGCUUUGUUAAAAAGGCCUCAGCCAAAGCUACCGAAUGACCUUCCAUCUUAAAUCCAGCUUUGGUUUCCUACCAAGUGAACCCUUCAUGGUUCACUGGGAGGUCAGUGGUACUGACCAGGUAGUUUGGAGAGAGCAUGAGUUUGGGAGUCACAAAAACCUUAACCCAAGUUCUGGCCUUUCCUGUGAAAUGCCAACCUGAUUUUGCUAGGCUCUUUACUCUGAAUGUCAAUUUCAUCCUUAAGUAAAGGGUGGUUAAUUUUCACCUUAAGUAAAGGGUGGUUAAUUUUCACCUUGUAAGAUAUGAUGAAAAUUAGGAAAAAUGAGAUACAGCAAACAACUACAUAAAGAGGUCAGUUUCAAUUUCCACCUUUCCCUUCCAUUUUAUUAUUUUUAUUUUGGGAGGUACCAGGGAUUGAACUCGAGGACAAUCAACCCCUGAGCCACAUCCCCAGCCCUUUUCUAUAUUUUAUUAUAGACAGGGUCUCACUGAGUUGCUUAGUGCCUCACUUUUGCUGAGGCUGGCUUUGAACUAGCGAUCCUCCUAUUUCAGCCUCCCGAACUACUGGGAUUUCAUGUGUGCACCACCAUGCCUAGCUAUUUUAUUAUCUUGCUAUUUUCCAGUCUUGAAUGCCUCUCUUUGGAACUGGGUAUUGCUAGUACAUUUGCCUAAAUGUUCAGGUUUGCCCGCUACUAAAUGAUAGAAGUCUAUUCUCCUCUCCCUUGAUGGAGCAUUCCCCCUUCCAGUGGACUUCUCUGAAGUGACCACCAGCAAAGAGCACAAGUAUACACCUCUGCUGUUCACACUACUCUUCCUGAUUUCUCUGUCUCUGUCAAUGCUAAUGCCAUUCAAUGGUCAUUCUGUGCUCUCUUUCCUUUCCCAGGAGAGUCACAGUACCACUGCUUACCCCUCUUCAGCGCCAGACUCCGAAGCAACCAGGUUGGGAAGAAUGUGGAUGGAUCAGUGCAGCUCAUCACCAUGGAACCUCAUUUAAAGAGAAUUUGGUAUGAGAGGUGGUCAUCUGCACCAUCUUCAUAUAAUAAAUGAGGGACAAAUGCAUCAAGGCCCUUAGGGUCCAUUGAGACUACUGUAAACAUGGACAUAAAGGUCUCUAGAAAGUUCAUAUGUUAAAGAAGAACACAAGUGACCAUGAAUCUGCCACGUUUUAUAUGCCAGGCUUUUUACUAAAGGCACACAUCAAUUAUUUCAUUUAAUGCCUCACAGCAGGCCUGUGAUGUGGGUACCACUAGUAGCUCUCUUUGUGACAUUUUCAGUUGUAGAGAAAUUCAGUGCUUGUGCUUCACAGAAAGUUGUAUACGUACCGAAUGGCUAAGCUAGAACUUAGCACCUGUCAGCCUGACUCCAUAGGUUUCUCUGCUUGCCUCCAGUUGAAGCCUUCCUCAGUUGGGCAUUGGCCAUUUUCGGAUUCUGACUCUACAGAUGAGCUGAUGUGUUGGUGGAAGGAAGAACAUCUGUGUUUCUGUUAUAAAAAGAAAAGCUGUGAUCACAGCCACAUGCAAUCAAAUUCAGAGCCUUAAGGAUUCCUCAGGGUUUAUGGAAUGUAGUUUGAGGCACACAAGUGUCAACGUCUGAUGACAGGGAGGAAACAUAACACCCACAGUGGCGUCUUUGGCCACCAGUGCAUGAAAUGUCCUAUGAGUAAGUAGAUGGCCUGCACUGCCUUCCUGCUCCUGGAAUUCACCCUUUACACUGUCGCAUGGGAUGAUAGGACAAGUGUGUGUGAGUAGAGCCAAUGAUAAUUAGAAGUCACUCCCCUCAUUGCCAUGUGAAGACAAUGUUAAUUAAUUAAAAGUGGAUUACCUCUGUGGUUGGAGAAAUGAAAUAAGGGCAUUGUGGAUUGCAUCUCCUGAAGCAGAAACACAGCACAAUUAUUUCUGUUCUUGUAUUUCAAUAUCAAAACUACCUUAUUUGAAAUCCUCUCACUCUAGAUUUUAAGAUGCCUCUGUCUUUCAGAAGGCAUCAUGCUUAGCUUUGCAGGGUGGGGGUGUGAAGUUGCCUAACUCUUUCUCUUGCCUCUGGGCAAUGUCAGGCAGGGGCAACUGACUGAUUUGUCAAACAUUUUAUUUAUGUCAUUCAUGAAAUAGAAAUAUAUAAAGGAAAAUAUGCUCUUUGCUUUGAAAAAUUAAGAUGUACUGGGUGCAUAUGUGGUUAUAUGACUCAAUACAGGCCAACUGUGCUUGUGUACAAGCCAGAAAAAAAAUUUGUGUAUAUGCACUAAAAAAAAUGAAAUAUACAAUCAAGCUAGUUAAUAUACCUUUCACUUUACAGAGUUACCAUUUUUGUGGUAAGAUUAAUGAAUAUCAAAAUAACAUAUUUUAGGCAAGUAUAGGGGCAGAUGCCCAUAAUCCCAGCAGCUCUAGAGGCUGGGUGAGACAGGAGGAUCACAACUUUGAGGGCAGCCUUAGCAAUUUUACCCUUAGCAACUUAGUGAGACCCUGUAUCAAAAUAAAAUAUAAGGGACUGGGGAUGUGGCUCAAAUAGUUAAGCGACCUUGGGUUCAGGCUUCAGCAUAAAAAAAAUCACAUUUUACACUUUGAAUGUGUACAAUUAUACAUUGCACACAUUCAAAGUGCAAAAUGUGGCAAGUCAGCUAUACCCCAAUAAAGCUGAAAAUAAUAAUGAAAAGCAAUACAUGAUUUAUUUAAAAAGUAUGUGUUUAUGUACUUUUUAAUGGUAGAAAAGAGAUAUUGUUUUAAAAAUAUAUAUUGUAAGUUAUCAUAAGCUACGACUAGGAACAGCAGGAAUCACAGAUAAAAUUCUACCAAAAAGACAUUAUUAUUUGUGUACCUCUUACUUUUAUACAUUCCUUUACUCUUAGAAAAAUUUGAUGAAGAUUCAAAGUCUUAUUUGAUCCAAUAUUCAUUUUGAUUAAGAAUAUGUCUUCAAACCACAUUUGAGCUUUUCCAGAAAGUGGAAGAGAAAAAAAUCUGUGGCUUCCUUUGGCUCUCACAAGGAGUAGGUUGUGAAGAGGGCUUGGACUUGCCUUCUGCCCAGGACUUUCACCUUGGAGAAUUCAUCAAAACAGGAGAUGGAGAUGCUAUGGAAACCGGGAAAGAGAGUUGUUGCAUGCUAGCCAGUGGGAAAAUAACCACUAUUCCCUUCUGGAAGCAAAUUUAAAAGCAAAACGUGUGUGUGUGCAUGUGUGUGUGUGUGUGUGUGUGUGUGUGUAGCCUUAAACAACACAGGCUUUGGAAAAGCUGCAUUUACACUGCAUCUCUUACCAGUUGUAAAAGGAUAAUCAUCUAUUUACAAUGAUUUGGUCGCUGCAUCUUUUGCAGCUAUUAAUUCAAAACAGCCUCAAACUGUUUAAAAGUAGAAUUGUGCUAUAAUGACUUUCCUCAAGGAAAGAGACUGAGUAUGAAAUUGAGUUCCUUGGGAAAGCACAUUCUGAAUUCUGCCAGCAGGAAGCCCCUCUUGUGAAUUGACAGGGAUAGGAGGUUCCAUCCCCAUCACUUCAGCUAGACAAAUAUUCCUCAAGAGCUGCACGUUCUGGCCCACUUUUUCUCUUUUCUUUGUCUUUGUGUGUAUGAGCUUGUGUAUGAUUUCUCUUUGCAAUAAUGCAUGCUGCUCCAACCAUCAUUAAAAUGAUUGAUUUUAUCCUGUUUUCCUGAUCAUUUUGUUGGUUCAGUGACUGGUAAGAGCACCUACAUUUUCUUUGAAGUCUUUUCUUGUGAUGAGGCUUCCUUUCAGGACUGUUAGCCUUUUUCCAGAAUUCUCCUGAGCAUUGUAUAUAAGGCAACCACCUGUUCGAUUUCCAUGUCUCUUGUCUCCUAGGGAUUACCUGUCCAAUUCUAGUGCACACUUUUUAGAAAUCCUAAGGGUUUCUGAUAAGACUGGAGGGAAUUGAUACUGUUUGCUAUUUAUGGAUGUGGAUGACAAGCCACCCCUAAAAGAGUCCCUCCCUUUCCAGAAAUAUCAAUAUUUGUUAAUUGUGGGUUUUGUGGGCACCUCUGAGAAUCUACCUACAUGAGUUGACAAUUGCAACUUAAUUUAAUCACUACGCAGGAUCUGAAAAUAGCUUUUAAAUCAGAGCCUAGAAACUUACAAAGCUUCCAGCCCCCAUGGAACCUAAGCUUGGGGAUUUUUAAGUCCUAGUGACAUUUUUUUUUGGAAUGUUAAGAUUUAGAGUUGGACUUGCUAAGCUAACACAUUAAACUGAAAACGAAAAUUAAAAAAAACAAAUUCCCAGCAAUUAACAAUGAUCUUCAAGAAGUAAAGAAUAUUUUAUCAUCAAUAAGACGGAAGAACAUGAUGUAAAAUGAAAGGAUAACCAUUUAUUUUUUGUAAGUUUAGCUUUAAAAUGAAUAUCUUUUUUUUCCUAAUUUUUAAAGCCUGUAUUAUUGAAUCUUCAUCAUACUCGCCAAUGUGAAUAAAAUGCAUGAAAUUAAUGCUCAGUGAGAGAAGCCAGACUCAAAAUCAUCAUAAAGAAAAGAUGUGAAAAAAUGGGAAAAAAGAAAAUCUGAGCAAAAUUUAUUCAUUGCAGGUUCUAAUUCCCAUCACAACAGAUUCAUGAUUUAACUCUUAAAAUAGCUUGGCUUUACUAACAACUAAAGCCAGAUAUUCCAAGGAAAAAUUUUCAGGUUCUCCCAUAUAGCUGGUUAAUUAUGCAAAAGUAUUCCACACAGCAAAAAUAAUUUAUUGGUCUUCUUGAGGAAAUUCAUCUUAUCCUGAAACACUUGGGAACUGGGUUAUCAGCUCAAUUUCAGAAGGCAAAUAUUUACUCAUUGUAGCAUUGUUUCCCACAGGUAAUUGGAAUUCAAAUAUGAAAGUAUUUAAGGUUUAAAUCUAAGACAACUUUUUGUGUCUUGAUAUCAUAAAAUCUUUCAAUGAAAAGAUAUCCUUUUGUUCAGUUUUCUGUAUUUAAGAUUCUAUUUAUUUAUUUAUUUACUCUUAGAAAUGUGCCAGGUGGUAUUCCAGACCUCAGGACAACAGAGACAAAUACCUCAAGAAGUUCAUACACCAGAGGAAGACAGGCACAUAAACAGAUAAGGACCACAUGGAGGAAUCUAUGCUGGAAUGAAGAUUUGUAAAAAGAGUUAGAAUUGAUAGAUAUGUGGUUUAAUAAAAACAUUACUGUGAAUUUAACAUAUGGAGGGACUGCCAAAUGAUUUUCAAAAGCAGCUGUACUAUGUCAAAAUCUCACUAGCAAUUUAAGAGAAAUCAACUUUUCCACAUCCUUGUUUACAAUUGUUACUGUCUUGUCUUUGUUUUUAGCUAUGUUAGGGAGGUUGAAGUAGCACUUACUUGUAGUUUUGAUUUGCAUUUCUCUGCUGACUACUGAUGUUGAACAUUUUUAAUGUGCUUUUUGAUUAUGUGUAUAUCUUCUUUGAAUAAAUGUUUUCAUAAAAAUAAAAAAGAAAAGAUGUGAACAGGUGACGUGACUCUCUGCUAAUAGAAGUCAAUGUAGUGAGAUAUCCUCAAGGGGUAGAUGGGGGUAUCUAGAGGGGACAAGGGAGGAAACGAUUCCAGGGCAUUGCUAGUGCUACAUCAA